UGCCAGCAGCCGCGGUAAUACGGAGGGUGCGAGCGUUAAUCGGAAUUACUGGGCGUAAAGCGCAUGCAGGCGGUUUGUUAAGCAAGAUGUGAAAGCCCCGGGCUCAACCUGGGAACCGCAUUUUGAACUGGCAGGCUAGAGUCUUGUAGAGGGGGGUAGAAUUUCAGGUGUAGCGGUGAAAUGCGUAGAGAUCUGAAGGAAUACCGGUGGCGAAGGCGGCCCCCUGGACAAAGACUGACGCUCAGAUGCGAAAGCGUGGGGAGCAAACAAGAUUAGAUA
rnacentral:rRNA from 1 species